GAAUGUAUUUAAAUGCCCAUUGCCUUUUCAGGAUAGAAUUUUUUGAGAAAAUCGUAAAAUUCAACUCAGAUAAGUAUUGCAAGAAAAAGCACGCAUGGCGCAAAAUAAAAUGAAGCAACAUUCGUGCCUUUUUGCUCCAGU
rnacentral:rRNA from 14 species